rnacentral:sRNA from 1 species
CCACGGGCUGACGCCCGCGGCUACAUUCUGUCGCACCUUUGGUGCU